rfam:Ciona savignyi cont_40023, whole genome shotgun sequence.
GGCCCGUUGGUCUAGGGGCAUAAUUAUCGCUUUGGGUGCGAGAGGUCCCGGGUUCAAAUCCCGGACGGGCCC